rnacentral:rRNA from 1 species
ACACGACUACAUUAGAUACCCCCGUAGUCCUGGCCGUAAACGAUGUGGACUUGGUGUUGGAAUGGCUCCGAGCUGCUCCAGUGCCGAAGGGAAGCUGUUAAGUCCACCGCCUGGGAAGUACGGCCGCAAGGCUGAAACUUAAAGGAAUUGGCGGGGAGCACCACAACGGGUGGAGCUUGCGGUUUAAUUGGAUUCAACGCCGGAAAUCUUACCGGGACCGACAGCAACAUGAAGGCCAGGCUGAAGACUUUGCCGGAUUAGCUG